GACGAACGCUGGCGGCGUGCUUAACACAUGCAAGUCGAACGGAAAGGCCCUGCUUUUGUGGGGUGCUCGAGUGGCGAACGGGUGAGUAACACGUGAGUAACCUGCCCUUGACUUUGGGAUAACUUCAGGAAACUGGGGCUAAUACCGGAUAGGAGCUCCUGCUUCAUGGUGGGGGUUGGAAAGUUUCGGCGGUUGGGGAUGGACUCGCGGCUUAUCAGCUUGUUGGUGGGGUAGUGGCUUACCAAGGCUUUGACGGGUAGCCGGCCUGAGAGGGUGACCGGCCACAUUGGGACUGAGAUACGGCCCAGACUCCUACGGGAGGCAGCAGUGGGGAAUAUUGCACAAUGGGCGGAAGCCUGAUGCAGCAACGCCGCGUGCGGGAUGACGGCCUUCGGGUUGUAAACCGCUUUCGCCUGUGACGAAGCGUGAGUGACGGUAAUGUGUAAAGAAGCACCGGCUAACUACGUG
rnacentral:rRNA from 1 species